rnacentral:piRNA from 1 species
UGGAAAUAACGCUGCCCAUGCCCAGACCAA